CUGGCGGCGUGCCUAAUACAUGCAAGUCGAACGCACUCUCGUUUAGAUUGAAGGAGCUUGCUCCUGAUUGAUAAACAUUUGAGUGAGUGGCGGACGGGUGAGUAACACGUGGGUAACCUGCCCUAAAGUGGGGGAUAACAUUUGGAAACAGAUGCUAAUACCGCAUAAAACCUAGCACCGCAUGGUGUAGGGUUGAAAGAUGGUUUCGGCUAUCACUUUAGGAUGGACCCGCGGUGCAUUAGUUAGUUGGUGAGGUAAAAGGCUCACCAAGACCGUGAUGCAUAGCCGACCUGAGAGGGUAAUCGGCCACACUGGGACUGAGACACGGCCCAGACUCCUACGGGAGGCAGCAGUAGGGAAUCUUCCACAAUGGACGAAAGUCUGAUGGAGCAACGCCGCGUGAGUGAAGAAGGUUUUCGGAUCGUAAAACUCUGUUGUUGGAGAAGAAUGUAUCUGAUAGUAACUGAUCAGGUAGUGACGGUAUCCAACCAGAAAGCCACGGCUAACUACGUG
rnacentral:rRNA from 1 species